GCGUCAGUAGUGCAACGGGUUAGAGCAAGCACUACCGGAUAGAGUGAGGUGCGGGUUCGAGUCUCGCUUGACGCA